AUUGAACGCUGGCGGCAUGCCUUACACAUGCAAGUCGAACGGUAACAGGUCUUCGGAUGCUGACGAGUGGCGAACGGGUGAGUAAUACAUCGGAACGUGCCCGAUCGUGGGGGAUAACGAGGCGAAAGCUUUGCUAAUACCGCAUACGAUCUACGGAUGAAAGCGGGGGAGCUUCGGACCUCGCGCGGCCGGAGCGGCCGAUGGCAGAUUAGGUAGUUGGUGGGAUAAAAGCUUACCAAGCCGACGAUCUGUAGCUGGUCUGAGAGGAUGAUCAGCCACACUGGGACUGAGACACGGCCCAGACUCCUACGGGAGGCAGCAGUGGGGAAUUUUGGACAAUGGGCGAAAGCCUGAUCCAGCCAUGCCGCGUGCAGGAUGAAGGCCUUUGGGUUGUAAACUGCUUUUGUACGGAACGAAAAGCCUCUUUCUAAUAAAGAGGGGUCAUGACGGUACCGUAAGAAUAAGCACCGGCUAACUACGUG
rnacentral:rRNA from 1 species